rnacentral:rRNA from 1 species
CAAACGACUCUCGGCAACGGAUAUCUCGGCUCACGCAUCGAUGAAGAACGUAGCAAAAUGCGAUACUUGGUGUGAAUUGCAGAAUCCCGUGAACCAUCGAGUUUUUGAACGCAAGUUGCGCCCGAAGCCAUUCGGCCGAAGGCACGUCUGCCUGGGCGUCACG